UCCAUCUUGUACCUGUACUUUUAUGCUAACUAAACUGUGCUGGGGGCUUUUGUUUCGGACAAUGAAGUUCUCUGCACAUGGCAGAAGCUGUAAAGGGAGGAAGUGACAUCGUCACUUAGCCUCACUCCCCCCACAACUCAACACCUGGAAACAUCUCAGGAACAAAGACUGAAUGGGGGAAGAUGGUCAUAAGGAGGAAAAGAAGGUAUCCCAGACUGUGUCUGAAAGAUCUGCAUACUGCUUGUACUCUCAGGGGGCACAGCUUGGGAUCUAACCUUCCUCCAGACCUCCAGCCCUGCCCAGUGCCCGGCUAACACAUCAGCACACGGUGUCCUGGGAACAGGUCAGAGGAUCCGUGGGGAGCCCUGCAGCCGCUCUCGCUCGCCCGAAAGGCCUGGCAGGAAGACGGGGAGCACACGGCUUUCUUGGACCCCAUCGCAGCUC